GUCCAUAUUACAUUGAAACACCGGUUCUCAUCUGAUCACUAAAUUUAAGCAAUGUUGAACCUGGUCUGUACCUAGAUGGGUAAUUGCUCAGGAAUAUCAGGUGCUGUAAG